rnacentral:SRP_RNA from 1 species
GCCAGGCAUGGUGGUGCAUGCCUCUAGUCCCAGCUACUCCGGAGGCUGAGGUGGGAGGAUCGCUUGAGCCCCAGAAUUCUGGGCUGUAGUUCGCUAUGCUGAUCGGGUGUCCGCAUUAAGUUCGGCAUCGAUAUGGUGACCUUCCAGGAGCGGGGGACCACCAGGUUACCUAAGGAGGGUGAAUUAGCCGAGGUCGGAAACGGAGCAGGUCAAAACUCCGGUGCUGAUCAGUAGUGGGAUCGCGCCUGUGAACAGCCACUGCACUCCAGUCUGGGCAACAUAGCGAGACCCCAUCUCU